rnacentral:rRNA from 1 species
AUUGAACGCUGGCGGCAGGCCUAACACAUGCAAGUCGAGCGGAUGAAGGGAGCUUGCUCCUGUAUUCAGCGGCGGACGGGUGAGUAAUGCCUAGGAAUCUGCCUGGUAGUGGGGGAUAACGUCCGGUAACGGGCGCUAAUACCGCAUACGUCCUGAUGGUGAAAGUGGGGGAUCUUCGGACCUCACGCUAUCUGAUGAGCCUAGGUCGGAUUAGCUAGUUGGUGGGGUAAAGGCCUACCAAGGCGACGAUCCGUAACUGGUCUGAGAGGAUGAUCAGUCACACUGGAACUGAGACACGGUCCAGACUCCUACGGGAGGCAGCAGUGGGGAAUAUUGGACAAUGGGCGAAAGCCUGAUCCAGCCAUGCCGCGUGUGUGAAGAAGGUCUUCGGAUUGUAAAGCACUUUAAGUAGGGAGGAAGGGCAGUAAGAGAAUACCUUGAUGUUUUGACGUUACCAAAAGAAUAAGCACCGGCUAACUUCGUG